AUGCAUCUGGUGCUAUCUUCACAGUUUAUGGACCUUCCAGCAUGGUCAUCCAAUCUUCUGCUCCCAUUGAAACAGCCAAACAAACCUCAGCACCAGUUUUGGCCACGGUUUUUCUGGAAUGUCAUGGAACUGAAGUGUGCAAUGCCUCGAUCUACAAAGCUACUGAGAGCAAAGGCAGCAGGAAGGUUCCACUUGGAUGCAGUAACCUGGCAAGACAGGGCUCAAAUCUACCCCUCACCGGCUGAGUGUCUUUGGGAAAUACCUGACUCGGGCUUCUCAGAAGAGAAAGGCCUUCAUCUCUCUGAUUUCUUUUCCACCAUAUACUUGCUCUUUGACCUCUGGCAGUUCGCUUACCUUUGCUGA
rnacentral:lncRNA from 1 species